rnacentral:rRNA from 1 species
CCAUAAAUAAAUCAAAACUUUCAACAACGGAUCUCUUGGUUCUGGCAUCGAUGAAGAACGCAGCAAAAUGCGAUAAGUAAUGUGAAUUGCAGAAUUCAGUGAAUCAUCGAAUCUUUGAACGCACAUUGCGCCCGCCAGUAUUCUGGCGGGCAUGCCUGUUCGAGCGUCAUUUCAACCCUCAAGCCCCCGGGUUUGGUGUUGGGGAUCGGCGAGCCCUCGCGGCAAGCCGGCCCCGAAAUCUAGUGGCGGUCUCGCUGCAGCUUCCAUUGCGUAGUAGUAAAACCCUCGCAACUGGUACGCGGCGCGGCCAAGCCGUUAAACCCCCAACUUCUGAAUGUUGACCUCGGAUCAGGUAGGAAUACCCGCUGAACUUAAGCAUAUCAAUAAGCC